rnacentral:rRNA from 1 species
UGCAAGUCGAGCGGUAGCACAGAGAGCUUGCUCUCGGGUGACGAGCGGCGGACGGGUGAGUAAUGUCUGGGAAACUGCCUGAUGGAGGGGGAUAACUACUGGAAACGGUAGCUAAUACCGCAUAACGUCGCAAGACCAAAGUGGGGGACCUUCGGGCCUCAUGCCAUCAGAUGUGCCCAGAUGGGAUUAGCUGGUAGGUGGGGUAACGGCUCACCUAGGCGACGAUCCCUAGCUGGUCUGAGAGGAUGACCAGCCACACUGGAACUGAGACACGGUCCAGACUCCUACGGGAGGCAGCAGUGGGGAAUAUUGCACAAUGGGCGCAAGCCUGAUGCAGCCAUGCCGCGUGUGUGAAGAAGGCCUUCGGGUUGUAAAGCACUUUCAGCGGGGAGGAAGGCGGUGAGGUUAAUAACCUCAUCGAUUGACGUUACCCGCAGAAGAAGCACCGGCUAACUCCGUGCCAGCAGCCGCGGUAAUACGGAGGGUGCAAGCGUUAAUCGGAAUUACUGGGCGUAAAGCGCACGCAGGCGGUCUGUC